ACAAUAUUUCCAUCUCAGCUGAUAAAAUGUAAUCAUUCUUAUUUAAAUAGAAAUCAGAAUUAAUGCAGGUUUUAAAGAGAAGGAAUAAUAAAUGAAUCGCACUAUCUUUAUUUCAGAGCUCCUGGCAUAUAUUGUCUAUUCAGAAUGGAAAUGCUAACGGUUGUUGUUUUGCUUUUCUACCUUGGACUUUCAUUCCAGAGCCCUCAAAAAUAAUGAGCUAUUGCUGCUCGAAUAUUUAUUUCUUCAGCUCUAGUUUAAGCAAAGGGCUGACACCCUGAUAUUUUAAGACAGAAGCAGGACAGAUAUAAUUUGAUGAUAAUGCAGUAGUUCGAAUACAGACACCAUGCUUGCAUUUCAUAUAACCUGUUCACAUUUCCUAAAGGGAUAGGAUGCAUUAGUUGGCAUGUACCACUGGUGUUACCUCUGUUGCAACCACGGUGCGACUACUGUUCCCACUCUGACCAUAUGAAUUUUCUCCAUCCUCUUCCCAUCUGCCAUCCACACCCUCCAUCUACUGGUUCUAGUUCUAACCUGGCUUCUAAUGCUGUGUGAUCCUUGGUGAAUUGCUUCACCACUCUGGGCCCCACAAGUGCAUCUAUACAGUGAGAGAAUGGGAUUCGAUCAGCAGUCCCAUACCCGAAUGCAGGGCUCAGAAACAAACAAACAUAAAAAUAAGACUGAUACACUUCGUUUACAUAUUAAAUACUAACUAAAAUAUUCUUCA
rnacentral:lncRNA from 1 species